CUUGUUACAACGCUAUUGUUGUUAGAAUGUCAGUGUAGUAAAGUUUGGUACAAAAGUAACUCACAAGAUAUGGGAUCUAAAUAGGUGAAAUAUCCUUGUCGACACUACCUAUGGAACCGAACAACGAUUGUUCGACGACUGCCGCCUUGUCUUUUCUCUUACAUACAGAGCUUGGUGGUUGGGAGCAUGGUGAUCAUGAUGUUGAUGAAAGUAUAACCAAAGAGAAUAGGGUGUUAAUUGCAUCUGUUGAUGUAUGAGUGCAGUGAAAGCCAGCAAGAUUCGGAAAAGUUUAUUUUCAUCGUUGCUGUCUGGUGCCUCAGCCAUAGCUGAGACCCAAUUUCCUGAUGGCCUUGUAUCAUGUCCAAGCUGCCAUUCUGCUUCUGUUCAGUGGAGUUAUCUUAAAACAGGGUCAUUUGAGUUCUUGUGAAGCCCUCUGAUGCUAUUUGGAGGAGUCGAGGUGGGAACGGUGACCGGAGUACACGCCGACGUCUCCAUCAAGAUUCCAGCAAAGGCUUAAAUCUUUUUCGUGGCGUCCAAUAACUUGCUGAAGAUGCUGUAUGCUGUACGAGUUCGACAACUGAUCCCAGCCUCAGGUGACGACUGGUGUCUUUGUCGCCUGAUGAAGAGAAGGCUACUAUAAACGAAAGCGCCGCUUCCCUUCGUUGCGGGUUCAUGUCUUCUUCGUCGACGGCGCAGAGAAUGAAGAGCUCAAGCUUCCCAUCGAUGUCCAGCCACAAAAGAGUGAAGCAGAGGACCAAGCGUUUAAUUCCUUUGAGAGGCCGCAUCAAAAGGCAAAUUUUGACAUCAUUUCUUCAGAAGAUCGCUUGCGUGGCAGGGUCCGUGUCAUCCAUUGUAACUUGCAAGCAAGUGAAGGAUGGAUACUAGAGCUUGUGUUUAGGUUUAAUACAUCAACUUGAUGCAUGGAUGCACCUACUUGUAAGUGGGUUUUCUUCUUCUUCUUCUUCUUCUUUUUCUUUUUUUUGGAGAAAAAAAGAAAUCGGUGUGGAAAUUCUGAUGAUUUAAUUUGAUCAUUUAUUGAAGCAC